AUAGAACGCUGGCGGCAGGCUUAACACAUGCAAGUCGAGCGGGGUGAUGGUGCUUGCACUAUCACUUAGCGACGGACGGGUGAGUAAUGCUUAGGAAUCUGCCUAUUAGUGGGGGACAACAUCUCGAAAGGGAUGCUGAUACCGCAUACGUCCUACGGGAGAAAGCAGGGGAUCACUUGUGACCUUGCGCUAAUAGGUGAGCCUAAGUCGGAUUAGCUAGUUGGUGGGGUAAAGGCCUACCGAGGCGACGGUCUGUAGCGGGUCUGAGAGGAUGAUCCGCCACACUGGGACUGAGACACGGCCCAGACUCCUACGGGAGGCAGCAGUGGGGAAUAUUGGACAAUGGGGGGAACCCUGAUCCAGCCAUGCCGCGUGUGUGAAGAAGGCCUUAUGGUUGUAAAGCACUUUAAGCGAGGAGGAGGCUCUUUUGGUUAAUACCCAAGAUGAGUGGACGUUACUCGCAGAAUAAGCACCGGCUAACUCUGUGCCAGCCGCCGCAGUAA
rnacentral:rRNA from 1 species